rnacentral:rRNA from 1 species
UUUUACAAUGAAGAGUUUGAUCCUGGCUCAGGAUGAACGCUAGCUACAGGCUUAACACAUGCAAGUCGAGGGGCAGCGGGAUUGAAGCUUGCUUCAAUCGCCGGCGACCGGCGCACGGGUGAGUAACGCGUAUCCAACCUUCCGUUUACUCGGGGAUAGCCUUUCGAAAGAAAGAUUAAUACCCGAUGGUAUGGUAAGAUUGCAUGGU